rnacentral:rRNA from 1 species
GGAUGCGAUCAUACCAGCACUAAAGCACCGGAUCCCAUCAGAACUCCGAAGUUAAGCGUGCUUGAGCGAGAGUAGUACUAGGAUGGGUGACCUCUUGGGAAGUCCUCGUGUUGCAUUCC